UAAGAUGAUUAUAACGAGCCCUGGAGGCUCUAUCUUAUAAACCCAGCUCUUCGAUACUUUUUGUUUCAUGAGAAGAAUAGUUAAGAUAGAUGAUU
rnacentral:snoRNA from 1 species